AUGGGCGCAAGCCUGAUGCAGCGACGCCGCGUGAGGGAUGACGGCCUUCGGGUUGUAAACCUCUUUCAGUACCGACGAAGCGCAAGUGACGGUAGGUACAGAAGAAGCACCGGCCAACUACGUGCCAGCAGCCGCGGUAAUACGUAGGGUGCGAGCGUUGUCCGGAAUUACUGGGCGUAAAGAGCUCGUAGGCGGUUUGUCGCGUCGUCUGUGAAAACCCGCAGCUCAACUGCGGGCUUGCAGGCGAUACGGGCAGACUUGAGUACUGCAGGGGAGACUGGAAUUCCUGGUGUAGCGGUGAAAUGCGCAGAUAUCAGGAGGAACACCGGUGGCGAAGGCGGGUCUCUGGGCAGUAACUGACGCUGAGGAGCGAAAGCGUGGGUAGCGAACAGGAUUAGAUACCCUGGUAGUCCACGCCGUAAACGGUGGGCGCUAGGUGUGGGUUUCCUUCCACGGGAUCCGUGCCGUAGCUAACGCAUUAAGCGCCCCGCCUGGG
rnacentral:rRNA from 1 species